CCCUUAGAUGUUCUGGGCCGCACGCGCGCUACACUGAUUCAUGCAACGAGUUUUGUCCUUGGCUGAAAGGCCUGGGUAAUCUUUGAACGUGAAUCGUGCUGGGGAUAGAUGAUUGCAAUUAUUCAUCUUCAACGAGGAAUUCCUAGUAAACGCAAGUCAUCAGCUUGCAUUGAUUACGUCCCUGCCCUUUGUUCACACCGCCCGUCGCACCUACCGAUUGAAUGGUCCGGUGAAAUCUUCGGAUCUGAGAGAUGUUGGAUUAAUUUCUGACGCCUUUUGGAAAAGUCGCUUAAACCUUAUCAUUUAGAGGAAGGUGAAGUCGUAACA
rnacentral:rRNA from 1 species